ACAAGUUUAAACUUUAAUAUGACAUCACAGGUUUGACAAAAAUGUAUUUAAUGAAAUAUUAACACAUACAAGACAAAGUACUGUAAGAAAAAAAAAAUUAAAUCUCAGUAUAUUGUAAAUGUCAGUAUUUAAUUUGACACCUUAAUAUUAUCAAUAAAAAAGUGAUCAUAAAGGCCCCAAAGGAUGAGGAUCGAUCAGAAUAACUAAAUAAAGAGAUUAAUUCACAUCCUAUAAAUCAUUAAUGCACCAUCUUUUACAUGCUGCUUCGCUCAAGCAAGAAAUCUGAAAGUUAAGACAGUGAGGAAUGAACCUGGAGUUUAAAAGGUGAAGAAAAAGGCAGGUGAACUUUCACUUUAAAAUCACUUUUAAAAUGAAAAACUAUUAAAAACAUAAGAAACUAACGACAGAAACGAGAAAGAAAAUCAAAACAAAUUUUGACUCACAAAGGAUUUGUAAGCUCAGCCAACUUCAGCCUUAAACAUUAGCGUUGUGAGGACAUGAAGCCAAGCCGUUUAGAUGCUCGGGCCAAGACGAGGGUGAUAACGGCGUGGGGCUGUUAGCUGUUAGCUGUUUACCACACAGCAGUGUGAGGAGCCGCCGAGCUCCUGCCUUAUUUCACAUCAGCACGACGACAUGACGGCUGUGCCUCCAGCAGAGUGCUCUCUCUUUCCUAGCAUUUGAUCUCAUAUUGUAAUCCCAGGUUUUGUGAAUAAUUUAUGGAAGAUGGCGUCUCGUUAAACACUAAUUUAUACACGUCUCUGGGAGAAAUGCAGACACAAUACAGCAGAACUCCAUAACAAUAAUAAUAAUAAUAAUAAUAAUAAUAAUAAUAAUAAUAAUAAUAAUAAUAAUAAUAAUAAUAAUAAUAAUAAUAAUAAUAAUAAAAGGCUUUAAACAACAGAAGCCAGGCUGUAAUGUAAUAAUUGUACUUGUGGUUUGAGUUAUAAUGAGCUAUAUUUAGAGAGCAGCUGCGUACAUGUGUGUACAUUCGUGUAUGAACUCAACGCUCACGGCAGAUGCACUGGUUCCAAAACUCACAGAUUCACUGACACAUUUCACAUGUAAUAAAUACGAUCAUCUUUUAAACCAUUUCAUCUCGUUUGGGAGACAGGAUUGAUACACAGUGCACUUUCUACCAAGGCCACGUCCAUCAUGACCCAGGAAUGAAAUCAUCCAUCAUGUUGUAAUGCACUCAGGAGACGUUACAGUACAAGGAUUUCAGAAAAGUUGCAUAUGCCGUCAAAGAAAAAGAAAAAAACUCUUCCGCAAGGUUUCUUCAGCUUAGAAAAAGGAUGAGAUUAUGUGCAUGGGAAAAAAAAAAGAAAAAAUAAGACACACACAAUCAGACGACACUCUGAUGGAUUCGAUCCAAAAUCAGUCGUAUGUUUUGGCACACACUUGUGGAGUCCAUGCAGCUGGAAUACACACUUACUAAGCAAAACACUAAGAUAACCGAGUGUUGCUCGAUUAAAUUAGAAUAUAAAAUUUCCUCUAGUACUCUCAGAUUUUUGAGCCAUAUCUGUAUCUUAACAUCCAGACAACUUUGUCAGGAAUGAAUUAGUGUUAAGUUUGUAAUGAACGCAAACAUCACUCUGACCUGUUAGUUCCUCAGGAGCCCUUGGUUGCUCAAUUCCACUCGACUACAAUCUGUUGUAGAAAGGACAUUUUUUACAGUGACAUUAUUUCCUGUCCAGUUUUACCCAAAUGAGGAUGAGGUUCCUGUCUGGUUCCUCUCAAAGUUUCCUCAUAUCAGUGUAGGGACUUUAUCCUUAUUGCUUCAGGCUUGAUCAUUAGGGACAGAUAUUAGAGAUUAAUUUUAAAUAUUACAAUUUUUAUUCUGUUUCUGUAUUUCUGUAAAGCUGUUUUGAGACAACGUGAACUGUUAAAU